GCAAUGUUAAAGCAAAUAAAUUUGUUUACAAGUCAACACUCUCGUAUUCGCGAAGUAACAUUACACGUCACAGAUAGCAAAACGUUGAAUUACAGGACCAAACUUUAUUGCUGCGACGAAUGAGAAAAGAAAGAAAAAAACUUAAGUCACUAACUUCCUUUGACUUCAUUCGGCGAAUGGGACGCUUGGUUUAUGUGUAUAAAUUAGAUGUCUCACCUGUGUGGAAUUAGACAUCUCACCUGACAUCGUCAUUAUUUGAUGCUGCGGUCUAUACUCUGCGAUACAAUAAGCCAUGGUUUAUCGUCUUUCCAUACAGCGUCUACAAAUCAAACAAGACUUAUAUUUAUUUACGAUCGCUAAUGUGAGUUUGGCCGUUUGCGCGAGAUCGAUAACAAAAUUGACACGCACGCUAUGUUUAUGCACAACGAUACCCGCGGGACUACCUCGAAUGUACACACUGUGAUAGAAUUCAAAAUAACGGAGCCGUUAUGUAUUACCGUGUUUAGCUACACGCGUCUACUCGAUGCUCGACUCGCGUACGCGUAUGUGUAUGUGUGUGUAACGUACAAUUUUCCAAACAUCAAAUGCGUCACGGAGGUGACGGUAGCGAUCUCGGUAAGUGACGACCCUACUCGCGCCGUAUGUCAUCCACGACAACGACGACGACGACGAUAGGUCCGCGGAUGCACCUGUGCAUGCACGGCGCAUAACGCUCUCUUCUCUAGCGAUAUUACCGAGCCGCGGGUACCCUCUAUCCCAGAGUGCUCGUAAAAUCGAGCGGCUCUAAAGCCACGUGCACAUUCGCGUGCGACUCGGCUGACUCGGCAGGGGCACAUAAAAGAGACGAGUAGGCGAUGAGAGAAGGUGAAGAGACACACAGAGCAGAGGUGAUAUCCGAGUCGCGUACGAACGUACGGUUCAAACCUCCCUACCUUACCAGCACGAU